AACCUUUACAAUGCUGGAAACAGCGAUAGGGGGACCUCGAGUGCCUUGGUACAACCAAGGCUGUCGUUAUGCCUAAAAAGCAUGAUAUAGCAAGGGCCGGGCAAGACCGGUGCCAGCCGCCGCGGUAACACCGGCGGCUCGAGUGGUAACCGUUAUUAUUGGGUUUAAAGGGUCUGUAGCCGGCCUGGUUAGUCUUUUGGGAAAUCCGGCAGCUCAACUGUCGGGCUUUCAGAGGAUACUGCCAGGCUCGAGACCGGGAGAGGUGAGAGGUACUUCAGGGGUAGGGGUGAAAUCUUGUAAUCCUUGAAGGACCACCAGUGGCGAAGGCGUCUCACCAGAACGGAUCUGACGGCAAGGGACGAAAGCUAGGGGCACGAACCGG
rnacentral:rRNA from 1 species